CACUUUUACAAGGUAUCAGCACUUUUCUUUCAUUGGGGGAAGGCAUGAGGAAAGUACCAAACAGCUGCAGACUUUGAAACUUUAAAUAGACACGUCUGAGAGCCUGAGUCCUCCUCUUCUUUGACUGCAGCCUCCAAGGAGCCUCACCAAUUUGGCAUGCUUUCAUUAAGCGAAAGAGAGGUGACCAGACAUG
rnacentral:other from 1 species